rnacentral:rRNA from 1 species
AACGAACGCUGGCGGCAUGCCUAACACAUGCAAGUCGAACGAGACCUUCGGGUCUAGUGGCGCACGGGUGCGUAACGCGUGGGAACCUGCCCUUAGGUUCGGAAUAACUCCCCGAAAGGGGUGCUAAUACCGGUUAAGUCCUCCGACCAAAGAUUUAUCGCCUUUGGAUGGGCCCGCGUUGGAUUAGCUAGUUGGUAGGGUAAAAGCCUACCAAGGCGACGAUCCAUAGCUGGUCUGAGAGGAUGAUCAGCCACACUGGGACUGAGACACGGCCCAGACUCCUACGGGAGGCAGCAGUGGGGAAUAUUGGACAAUGGGCGAAAGCCUGAUCCAGCAAUGCCGCGUGAGUGAUGAAGGCCUUAGGGUUGUAAAGCUCUUUUACCCGGGAUGAUAAUGACAGUACCGGGAGAAUAAGCUCCGGCUAACUCCGUG